UCCUACGGGAGGCAGCAGUAGGGAAUCUUCCGCAAUGGACGAAAGUCUGACGGAGCAACGCCGCGUGAGUGAUGAAGGCUUUCGGGUCGUAAAACUCUGUUGUUAGGGAAGAACAAGUGCUAGUUGAAUAAGCUGGCACCUUGACGGUACCUAACCAGAAAGCCACGGCUAACUACGUGCCAGCAGCCGCGGUAAUACGUAGGUGGCAAGCGUUAUCCGGAAUUAUUGGGCGUAAAGCGCGCGCAGGUGGUUCCUUAAGUCUGAUGUGAAAGCCCACGGCUCAACCGUGGAGGGUCAUUGGAAACUGGGAGACUUGAGUGCAGAAGAGGAAAGUGGAAUUCCAUGUGUAGCGGUGAAAUGCGUAGAGAUAUGGAGGAACACCAGUGGCGAAGGCGACUUUCUGGUCUGUAACUGACACUGAGGCGCGAAAGCGUGGGGAGCAAAUAGGAUUAGAUACCCUGGUAGUCCACGCCGUAAACGAUGAGUGCUAAGUGUUAGAGGGUUUCCGCCCUUUAGUGCUGAAGUUAACGCAUUAAGCACUCCGCCUGGGGAGUACGGCCGCAAGGCUGAAACUCAAAGGAA
rnacentral:rRNA from 1 species